AAAGUCGUAACAAGGUAACCGUAGGUGAACCUGCGGUUGGAUCAUUAAAAAAAAUUAAGGAUGAAUGCAAAGUUCUUUGCUUCAUUACCAACUUUGUGUGAAAUGAACCCGUCCCUGGUGGGGAGGGUGGCGAAAGCCGCUUGUCAGUCAUGCAGUUUUUAUAAUUGCUUAGACCGUGGACAGCCCACCAACCAUUAUUCAACAUCUCUAUUUUAUUCUAGUCUGAUAUUUUAUUUUUUUAUAAACAAAAAACAACUUUUGGCAACGGAUCUCUUGGCUCUC
rnacentral:misc_RNA from 1 species